rnacentral:rRNA from 1 species
GAUUAACGCUGGCGGCGUGCCUAACACAUGCAAGUCGAGCGGCAGCGAGUUUUACACUGAAUUCUGGAAGCUUCUAGUUGAAAGAGAAGAUUUAUUCAAGAAUUUUGUGUAAAAUGUCGGCGAGCGGCGGACGGCUGAGUAACGCGUGGGAACGUACCCCAAAGUGAGGGAUAACGCAUCGAAAGGUGUGCUAAUACCGCAUAUGGUCUUCGGAUUAAAGCCUUCGGGCGCUUUGGGAACGGCCUGCGUAAGAUUAGAUAGUUGGUGGGGUAAUGGCCUACCAAGUCGACGAUCUUUAACUGGUUUGAGAGGAUGAUCAGUCAGACUGGAACUGGGACACGGUCCAGACUCCUACGGGAGGCAGCAGUGAGGAAUCUUCCACAAUGGGCGAAAGCCUGAUGGAGCAACGCCGCGUGCAGGAUGAAGGCCUUCGGGUUGUAAACUGCUUUUAUAAGUGAGGAUUAUGACAGUAACUUAUGAAUAAGGAUCGGCUAACUACGUG